CCUACGGGGGGCAGCAGUAGGGAAUCUUCCACAAUGGACGAAAGUCUGAUGGAGCAAUGCCGCGUGAGUGAAGAAGGGUUUCGGCUCGUAAAACUCUGUUGUUAAAGAAGAACACCUUUGAGAGUAACUGUUCAAGGGUUGACGGUAUUUAACCAGAAAGCCACGGCUAACUACGUGCCAGCAGCCGCGGUAAUACGUAGGUGGCAAGCGUUGUCCGGAUUUAUUGGGCGUAAAGCGAGCGCAGGCGGUUUUUUAAGUCUGAUGUGAAAGCCUUCGGCUUAACCGGAGAAGUGCAUCGGAAACUGGGAGACUUGAGUGCAGAAGAGGACAGUGGAACUCCAUGUGUAGCGGUGGAAUGCGUAGAUAUAUGGAAGAACACCAGUGGCGAAGGCGGCUGUCUAGUCUGUAACUGACGCUGAGGCUCGAAAGCAUGGGUAGCGAACAGGAUUAGAUACCCCAGUAGUCC
rnacentral:rRNA from 1 species